CUCAAUUUAAAUCUGGCGGUUCUGCCGUCCGAGUUGUAAUCUGGAGAAGCGUUUUCCGCGUCGGACCGUGUACAAGUCUCUUGGAAUAGUGCGUCAUAGAGGGUGAGAAUCCCGUCCAUGACACGGACUACCGAUGCUCUGUGAUACGCUCUCAAAGAGUCGAGUUGUUUGGGAAUGCAGCUCAAAAUGGGUGGUAAAUUCCAUCUAAAGCUAAAUAUUGGCGAGAGACCGAUAGCGAACAAGUACCGUGAGGGAAAGAUGAAAAGCACUUUGGAAAGAGAGUUAAACAGUACGUGAAAUUGUUGAAAGGGAAACGCUUGAAGUCAGUCGCGUUGUGCGGAGCUCAGCCUUGCUUCUGCUUGGUGUAUUCUCCGUUUCGACGGGUCAACGUCAAUUUCAACCGGUGGAAAAGGGCCUGAGGAAUGUAGCGUCGUUUCGGCGACGUGUUAUAGCCUUGGGUCGUAUGCAUCGGUCGGGAUUGAGGACCGCAGCACGCCCUUGUGGCCGGGGGUUCGCCUCACGUUUGUGCUUAGGAUGUUGGCAAAAUGGCUUUAAGCGACCCGUCUUGAAACACGGACCAAGGAGUCUAACAUGCCUGCGAGUGUUUGGGUGGAAAACCCUUGCGCGUAAUGAAAGUGAAAGUUGGGAUCCUUCGCAAGGGGGUGCACCGACGCCCGGCCCUGACGUUCUCUGACGGUGCUGCGGUAGAGCAUGUAUGUUGGGACCCGAAAGAUGGUGAACUAUGCCUGAAUAGGGUGAAGCCAGAGGAA
rnacentral:rRNA from 1 species